GGGGGUAAUAAGCGGCAGACGGGUGUUAACACGUAGGUGAUCUACCCAGAGACGGGAAUAACGGGUGGAAAGAUACGCUAAUACCGGAUAGAGUUGUUCGGUCAAAGGGACAAGGAAAGGCUCCGGCGCUCUGGGAUGAGCCUGCGGCCCAUCAGCUAGUUGGCGUGGUAAUGGCCCACCAAGGCAAAGACGGGUAGGGGGUGUGAGAGCAUGGCCCCCCACAAUGGGACUGGAACACGGCCCAUACUCCUACGGGAGGCAGCAGCAUGGAAUAUUGCACAAUGGACGGAAGUCUGAUGCAGCGACGCCGCGUGGAUGAAGAAUGCCCUCGGGUUGUAAAAUCCUUUACAGGGGGAAGACGAAGGACGGUACCCCUGGAACAAGUGUCGGCUAACUACGUGCCAACAGGCGCGGUAAGACGUAGGACACAAGCGUUAUCCGGAUUUACUGGGCGUAAAGCGUCUGCAGGCGGACAGGUAAGUUGGGCGUGAAAGCUCCGGGACCGACCCGGAGAGGUCGUUCAAUACUGCGUGUCUAGAGGGUGUCAGAGGGGAGUGGAAUUUCCGGAGUAGCGGUAAAAUGCGCCGAGAUCGGAAAGAACAGCAAUGGCGAAGGCAGAUCCCUGAGGCAAGCCUGACGCUAAGAGACGAAAGCUAGGGGAGCGAACAGGAUUAGAGACCCUGGUAGUCCUAGCCCUAAACGAUCGCUGC
rnacentral:rRNA from 1 species